CCGGUACGGACCUACGGUGGGGCCUCGUGACGGCGCAAGGAAGCCGGUGGAAGUCCGGCGCGGUUGCGCCACUGUGAGCCCGCGAGACGCCGCGGGUGAGUCAGAUACUUCGCCGUCAUGACGCCCAU
rnacentral:ncRNA from 2 species